CCAGACUCCUACGGGAGGCAGCAGUGGGGGAUAUUGCACAAUGGGGGAAACCCUGAUGCAGCGACGCCGCGUGAGUGAAGAAGUAUUUCGGUAUGUAAAGCUCUAUCAGCAGGGAAGAAAAAAGACGGUACCUGACUAAGAAGCCCCGGCUAACUACGUGCCAGCAGCCGCGGUAAUACGUAGGGGGCAAGCGUUAUCCGGAUUUACUGGGUGUAAAGGGAGCGUAGACGGCAGCGCAAGUCUGAAGUGAAAUGCCGGGGCUUAACCCCGGAACUGCUUUGGAAACUGUGCAGCUAGAGUGCAGGAGAGGUAAGUGGAAUUCCUAGGGUAGCGGUGAAAUGCGUAGAUAUUAGGAGGAACACCAGUGGCGAAGGCGGCUUACUGGACUGUAACUGACGUUGAGGCUCGAAAGCGUGGGGAGCAAACAG
rnacentral:rRNA from 1 species